GAUGAACGCUAGCGGCAGGCCUAACACAUGCAAGUCGAGGGAGAAGCCCUUUCGGGGGCAGAAACCGGCGCACGGGUGCGUAACGCGUAUGCAACCUACCUUUCACAGGGGGAUAGCCCGAAGAAAUUUGGAUUAAUACCCCAUAAUAUUAUUGGAUGGCAUCAUUUGAUAAUUAAAACUGCGGUGGUGAAAGAUGGGCAUGCGUCCUAUUAGCUAGUUGGAGUGGUAACGGCACCCCAAGGCUACGAUAGGUAGGGGUCCUGAGAGGGAGAUCCCCCACACUGGUACUGGGACAGGGACCAGACUCCUACGGGAGGCAGCAGUGAGGAAGAUUGGUCAAUGGUCGGAAGACUGAACCAGCCAUGCCGCGUGCAGGAAGAAUGCCUUAUGGGUUGUAAACUGCUUUUAUAUGGGAAGAAUAAGGCGUACGUGUACGUUGAUGACGGUACCAUAUGAAUAAGCAUCGGCUAACUCCGUG
rnacentral:rRNA from 1 species